CUAGCAGGUCACCUUAUCGCUUCUGAUUUUUAUCAGAAGAGGAAAGUCCGGACACCAUAGUGCAGUAUAGCGGGUAAUACCCGUCACCCAAUUAGAAAUUUUUGGGGCGGACCAGUGCAACAGAAAGCAAGUACAGUUCGGCUGUAGUGAAACCAGGUAAACUCUAUACGGUGAAACGCCAUGUAAACCAGUGUUUAAAAACGGCACGUUUAAGCUGGAGGGUAGGCGGUUAGAAUUUUUAGGCAACUAGAAACCUAGAUAAAUGAUAAGGAUUCACUUAUGUGAUUACAGAAUCCGGCUUAUGGCCUGCUUUUUAA
rnacentral:RNase_P_RNA from 1 species